CAAAGCGCAGAGGACCACGUCCGAACAACGGCUCGGGCGUGGGUGAAUGCGCAGGAUCCUGUUUAUCAUUAUCCUGACAGUAAUUAUGUUAUUGAUCCUUCUGAUCCUCGAUAUACCUUUUCACAACCUCUGUUGAACGCUCGCUCACACUUCCUAUGAAAUAUGACAGGCUCCAGAAAUACGGCUUCCGGUAGUAAAGGAGCAAGCUCUUCGGCAAAGUUCUUUCGCACCAUCCUUGACGAAGCCGUCUUGAAUGCGUUUACGAAUGUUGACAGAUUUAUAUUGGGAACAGAAACCACAAUUAUUACGUUAAUAGGUAUCCCCUAAGUUGAGCCUCUAAAUAAAGAGUGCGUAAUAGCUCACUGGUCGAGUGAUCGUGCGCCGAGAAUUCACGGGGCUAAAACUUACUACCGAAGCUUUGGACUCUUCGGAGUGGUAGAGGAGCAUUGUGUAAAGGGAGAAGCCGAAUCGUAAGAAUCCGGUGGACGUUACACAAGAGAGAAUGUUGGCAUGAGUAGCGAAAGGGAGGUGAGAAUCCUCCCCAUCGAAAACCUAAGGGUUCCCGGGGAAGGCUCGUCCGCCCGGGGUAAGUCGGGACCUAAGGCGAGGCCGAAAGGCGUAGUCGAUGGACAACUGGUUGAGAUUCCAGUACCCGGUAGAUCGUUUGAGAGAAGGAGUGACGCAGGAGGAUAGGCUGACCCUGCGGAUGGUUGAACAGGGUCAAGCGCGAGAGGUUGUACGGCAGGCAAAUCCACCGUGCAAGACUGAUCCGUGAUGAGGAGGGAAAUUUAAGUACCGAAGCAGCUGAUUUCACACUGACAAGAAAAGCUUCUAUCGAGAGAAUACCGGCCCGUACCGCAAACCGACACAGGUAGGUGAGGAGAGAAUCCUAAGAUGAGCGAGAGAAAUGUUGUUAAGGAACUCGGCAAA
rnacentral:rRNA from 1 species